UCUGGAGAGGGAGAGAGAGGCCCACCAGUAGCGUCUUUACCUUAUGACUCAGUCCCAGUCUCAGCUGACCCGGGUCACAGGUGUGCACAUCCCGGUGAGCUGCCAGCAUGCUCAGGAAGUUCCGGGGAGGCAAACACAGGGCCUUUCCUACGCGGCGUUCCCUCUUCCUGGCCCCAAGAACUCUUCAGGGAACUUUCCUGGCUGCCAAGGUCUUUAUCACCUUGGUAUUAGCGGCUGAAUGAAUGCAUGACAACAGAACGGUGAUGAGAGUGGAGGAGGAGUGAGAGCUUCAGGUCAGCGUAGUGUUUAUGAGAACGUCCAACAGAAGACAGCCAGAAUCAAACAGUUACACAAAAGCCCAGCAGAUGUGCAGAGAAGAACAUAAAACACUAGCCACGAAAGCAGAGCAGUGAAGAGGCUAUCUGACGGUGAAUUUCACCAUCAGAGUCGUCAGAGGCCUGGUAAAUCAGAGGCUGUGAGUGGAAAAUUACAGCACUUCUGCCAAGAUAGUAAAACCACCUGAUUCAGAACAAACUAGAUUUUCUGUGCAGGGUA